GACAGAGGGUGCAAACGUUGCUUGGAUUUACUGGGCGUAAAGCGCGUGUAGGCGGGCGACUAAGUCGGAUGUGAAAUCCCUGGGCUCAACCUAGGAACUGCAUUCGAAACUGGUCACCUAGAGUGAUGGAGAGGAAAGCGGAAUUCCCGGUGUAGAGGUGAAAUGCGUAGAUAUCGGGAGGAACACCCAUGGCGAAGGCAGCAAGCUGGGCGACACCUGACGCUGAGGCGCGAAAGCGUGGGUAGCAAACAGG
rnacentral:rRNA from 1 species